rnacentral:lncRNA from 1 species
UUGACCACAGUCAAAACAAAGCUUUCUGACCGUUUUAAAGAUAUAAAAGUAAUUUUCCUGCAGGUGACAGUCAGUGAGAGCCUUUUAAUGUCACUUAUCAGAACACACUUCAGCCCUUCUGGCAAAAGCAUGCGACUAUCUCUGGAUGAUGUGCAGGAAUGCUGGACACUCCAACACCUAGUUUAUGUUGGACACAUGGACAGUCAGUCGCUGUAAUUGUGGUCAUCUGCUCAUCAUGCUGAGAUGAGCUUGUGAUUCAUUGAACACAGCUAGAUCCUUUAGGGUUCAUCAGUCCAACUGCUUCUGAGCUGGACCUGAGAGAGACAUCUAGUGCUCAAUGCUGAUAUUACAGCUCAUUCACAAACAAAUGAGUGGAAUAUUGUUGCAGGUAAGACUCAGCCAAAACCAGAUCGCCCUGAACAGUAUGUAAUUGGCCUGUAUAAUUGGUUCCACACUCUGCUGUAGUAGGAGUGAAGGUAGAAGACCCUCAUGCUGUAGGGU